rnacentral:rRNA from 1 species
AGGGUUUGAUCAUGGCUCAGAACGUACGCUGGCGGCACGCCUAACACAUGCAAGUCGAACGCAGUAGCAAUACUGAGUGGCAAACGGGUGAGUAUAAUGUGGGAAUCUGCCUUUUGGUUUGGAAUAACACGGGGAAACUUGUGCUAAUACCGGAUAAGCCCUUACGGGGAAAGUUUUAACGCCGAAAGAUGAGCCCGCACUUGAUUAGCUAGUUGGUAAGGUAAUGGCUUACCAAGGCAACGAUCAAUAGCUGUUCUUAGAGGAAGACCAGCCACAUUGGGACUGAGACACGGCCCAAACUCCUACGGGAGGCAGCAGUGGGGAAUCUUGCACAAUGGGGGAAACCCUGAUGCAGCGAUGCCGCGUGAGUGAAGAAGGCCCUUGGGUUGUAAAGCUCUUUCGUCGGGGAAGAAAAUGACUGUACCCGAAUAAGAAGGUCCGGCUAACUUCGUGCCAGCAGCCGCGGUAAUACGAAGGGACCUAGCGUAGUUCGGAAUUACUGGGCUUAAAGAGUUCGUAGGUGGUUGAAAAAGUUAGUGGUGAAAUCCCAGAGCUUAACUCUGGAACUGCCAUUAAAACUUUUCAGCUAGAGUAUGAUAGAGGAAAGCAGAAUUUCUAGUGUAGAGGUGAAAUUCGUAGAUAUUAGAAAGAAUACCAAUUGCGAAGGCAGCUUUCUGGAUCAUUACUGACACUGAGGAACGAAAGCAUGGGUAGCGAAGAGGAUUAGAUACCCUCGUAGUCCAUGCCGUAAACGAUGUGUGUUAGACGUUGGAAAUUUAUUUUCAGUGUCGCAGCGAAAGCGAUAAACACACCGCCUGGGGAGUACGACCGCAAGGUUAAAACUCAAAUGAAUUGACGGGGACCCGCACAAGUAGUGGAGCAUGUGGUUUAAUUCGAAGAUACGCGCAGAACCUUACCAACACUUGACAUGUUCGUCGCGACUCUAAGAGAUUAGAGUUUUCGGUUCGGCCGGACGAAACACAGGUGCUGCAUGGCUGUCGUCAGCUCGUGUCGUGAGAUGUUGGGUUAAGUCCCGCAACGAGCGCAACCCUCACUUUUAGUUGCCAUCAUUAAGUUGGGCACUCUGAAAGAACUGCCAGUGAUAAGCUGGAGGAAGGUGGGGAUGACGUCAAGUCCUCAUGGCCCUUACGUGUUGGGCUACACACGUGCUACAAUGGUAUCUACAACAGGAAGCAAGACUGCGAGGUCAAGCAAAUCCUUAAAAGAUACCUCAGUUCGGAUUGCACUCUGCAACUCGAGUGCAUGAAGCUGGAAUUACUAGUAAUCGUGGAUCAGCGUGCCACGGUGAAUGCGUUCCCGGGUCUUGUACACACCGCCCGUCACACCAUGGGAGUUGGUUCUACCUUAAGGCAAGGUUUCAAACCCUUGACCACGGUAUAGUCAGCGACUGGGGUGAAGUCAUAACAAGGUAGCCG